GGGGUUGUGGCUCAAUGGUAGAGUGCUUGCCAACAUAUGUAAGGCCCUGGGUUCGAUCCUCAGCACCCCA
rnacentral:tRNA from 1 species